UCAUACGCUCGUCUCAAAGAUUAAGCCAUGCAUGUGUAAGUAUAAAUAUUUAACUUUGAAACUGCGAAUGGCUCAUUAUAUCAGUUAUAGUUUAUUUGAUGAAAAGUACUACUUGGAUAACCGUAGUAAUUCUAGAGCUAAUACAUGAUAAAAUCCUCGACUUUGAAGAGGUGUAUUUAUUAGAAUGAAACCAAUAGACUUCGGUCUGUUUGUGAGUAAUAAUAACUAAUCGUAUCGCAUGCUUAGGUAGCGAUAUGUCUUUCAAGUUUCUGCCCUAUCAGCUUUGGAUGGUAGUGUAUUGGACUACCAUGGCAGUAACGGGUAACGAAGAAUUUGGGUUCGAUUUCGGAGAGGGAGCCUGAGAGAUGGCUACCACAUCCAAGGAAGGCAGCAGGCGCGUAAAUUACCCAAUCCUGACAUAGGGAGGUAGUGACAAUAAAUCACAAUGCGGANCUAUUAGUUUUGCAAUUGGAUUGAGAACAAUGUACAAAUGUUAUCGAUAAACAAUUGGAGGGCAAGUCUGGUGCCAGCAGCCGCGGUAAUUCCAGCUCCAAUAGCGUAUAUUAACG
rnacentral:rRNA from 1 species